rnacentral:rRNA from 1 species
CACCGGCAGCUCAAGUGGUAGCCGCUUUUAUUGGGCCUAAAGCGUCCGUAGCCGGUCUGAUAAGUCUCUGGUGAAAUCCCACAGCUUAACUGUGGGAAUUGCUGGAGAUACUAUCAUGACUCGAGGUCGGGAGAGGCUGGAGGUACUCCCAGGGUAGGGGUGAAAUCCUGUAAUCCUGGGAGGACCACCUGUGGCGAAGGCGUCCAGCUGGAACGAACCUGGCGGUGAGGGACGAAAGCCAGGGGCGCGAACCGGAUUAGAUACCCGGGUAGUCCUGGCCGUAAACGAUGUGGACUUGGUGUUGGGAUGGCUUCGAGCUGCCCCAGUGCCGAAGGGAAGCUGUUAAGUCCACCGCCUGGGAAGUACGGCCGCAAGGCUGAAACUUAAAGGAAUUGGCGGGG